UACAGAGGGUGCAAGCGUUGUCCGGAUUCAUUGGGCGUAAAGAGCGUGUAGGCGGCCAGGUAGGUCGGUUGUGAAAACUGGAGGCUCAACCUUCAGAGGUCGACCGAAACCAUCUGGCUAGAGUCCGGGAGAGGAGAGUGGAAUUCCUGGUGUAGCGGUGAAAUGCGCAGAUAUCAGGAAGAACGCCCGUGGCGAAAGCGGCUCUCUGGAACGGUACUGACGCUGAGACGCGAAAGCGUGGGGAGCGAACAGG
rnacentral:rRNA from 1 species